CCUAAAAUUUAUAUGGAACCACAAAGGACCUCGAAUAGCCAAAGCAGUUGUAAUAAAGAAGAACAAAACCUGAGGCAUCACACUCUUAUUUCAACCCAUGUUAAAAAGCUAUAGUAAACAAAACAGUAUGGUAUUGGAAUAAAAACAGACACAUAGAUCAAUGGAAUGGAAUAGAGAUCCCAAAAAUAAGCCCAUGCAUAUGUAGUCUACUAAUUUUUAAGAAA